rnacentral:lncRNA from 1 species
AUAACCUUACAUUACAUCAUGUCCACAACUAUUCUAUUACAUAAUCAUGACCAUGGACGUAACCUGCUGAUCUCCUGACUAUCUCUAUCUACUCUGCACCUGCAAGACUGGGGUUAGGGGAGAGGGGUGAGCUAGAAAGCCCAGUGAGCAGAAACUAAAAAUAUUUGCUUUAAUUCCUCCAUUUUUAGGUAUCUUAUUGUUCAUUUUAUUAUUAUUGUAGUUCCUCCAUUUUUAGGUAUCUUAUUAAGUAACUUUUUCUUGUUCAUGCUUUCAUGAAAUGCAACACAUCACAAACAUAUCACAUCAAGGAUGAAUUUGUCACCUAUAGCCCUCUACAUACUGUAGUACGUCCAACUAUACCAGGGGCGAUGAGGCCACACCUAGUAUUCGCUUACAUAACUCAUAUCAUAACAAGUCCAACUACACCAGGGGCGAUUAGGCCUCACCUAGUGUUCGCUUACAUAACAUAGUACCAGGGGCGACCUGGUCUUUCUGUCUCAUAUCAUACCAUGGCAUAUCAUAUCAUAUUAUCUCAUCUCAUACUGAGGGCUAAGGAUCAUCCAACAUCCAUCCACAUCAACAACAUAUUAUGCAAUGCAUCAUAUUCGUGAGUUCUAAUGCAAAACAACCUAAUACAUAUAUCAUGGCAUUUAUGAUGCAUGGAUCAUGCUCUAAAAACAUUUAAUUUCUUAGUUUAAAACAUUAGGUUUAGUUCCACUCACCUGAGACUAGCUCUGCACCGAUUCUGAAAUGGUUGACACUGCUAAACACUUUGGUUCCUUGGGUCCAAUCCUACACAGGUGGACUCCAGUGAGAGACCAAACAUACAUAAACAUAACUCUACUAUACUCCCCAAAAACCCCCUAAAUCAUCCUGAAAACAUCACAUAAAAACAUGCAAGAAAAGUCUGGACAGGGCACUUUCGGCGGCACCUUCGGCGGCCGAAAGUCCAGACAGAUCCGAAAGUCAGGCAGGUUCGGCGGCACCUUCGGCGGCCGAAACUCCCAGACAGAGACGAAACUCAUGCAUGUUCGGCGGCACCUUCGGCGGCCGAAAGUCUCGGACAGAGCCGAAACUCCAACUUUCGGGGGCAGGCUUCGGCAGCCUAAAGCUGCCUCCCAGGCUGGUUCGGCGGCCGAAAGUCCCUUCGGCUGCCGAACCUGGUUUCUGCCAAAGGGCAGAAACUUGGUUCUUCUUGCCCAUUCCAACCCCCUUCACAACCAAUCAUGCAAAGACCUAUUCUACAACAUGCAUACUCAAGCAUACAAGCUCCUAAGGGUCUCAAACUAACUUAAACCCCAACUACAACACACAAACAAGGCACAUUGCUCAAGAACAUGCACAUUGAACCCAUAAACAUAAAAGAAACUUCAACAAGCCUUCUCAUGCUUUUCUACCCCAUAGAUCUACUUAAAACUUUCUUAAAACAUGCAAGAGAGGUUGGAUCUAAGCUUACCUCUUGAAGAUCGAGAGGAAGAACGAUCCUAGCUUGGAGGUAGGGAGAAAUCCGCUCUUUGGUCUCCAAGCUUCCAAUCUUACUCUAACUUCAAAACUCUUCAAAAACAAGAUGUAACUUGUUAAAAUCUGAAAGAUUUGAGGGAAAACACUUAAAAUGACCAAAGGAGGGCUAGAGCUCACCGUCGGCCGAAAUGGGAGAGGAAACCUCGCCUGUUUCGGUCACGGGGCCUUUUAUAGGGCUGGUUCUGCCACCUUUCGGCGGCCUAACGUGCCCCCACAUCUCAUGCAUGUUCGGCGGCCGAACCUUAAGUCUUUCAAACAAGGCUUUCGGGGGCCAAAGGCGCUCCCAAAACCUAUCCAUGUUCGGCGGCCGAACUUAACUUUCGGCGGCCGAACCUGGUAAAGCCUCCUUAGGCCUUUUUUUUCAUUCAAAACUCAUUUUCCUUUUUACUUAAAACAUAAAAUACCUUAAAAACAUUUCAUAAAACAUGGUUUUCCCCUUCUAGAGGUUUCCGACAUCCGAGAUUCCACCGGACGGUAGGAAUUCCGAUACCGGAGUCUAGCCGGGUAUUACAGACAUAAACUAAAACCAACAUAGAAAAGUGCUAACCCUAAUUACACCCAAAUAUCAAGCAAAAACAUGUAAUUCAACUAGUUAGAAGAGAAAUAUGUGAUGAUAUAAGUAGAAUUAAGUUGUAAGAAAAAUUUUGGCUUGCUCACAAACUUUUUGGAAAGUUGAAUUUAGUCCCAUUCUAAUUCAUAUCGUAGAUUACUCUUUAGUCCCUUUUUUUCAUUGUAUGAAACCAGAACAAAGAAUUAACCAAGAAAAAAAAAAUAUAACUUACAAGUUGUGAAAAUUUAAAGGAUAUAUAAAUUUAUUUCAGCAUAUGAUUUAAUACCAAACUAAUGCAGAACCUAAAAUCAACUUUUGAUAAAAAAAAAAAAAAAGAAAUCUGGUCACAGAAUAAUGGCAUAAAUGUUGAGUUUUAAUCGGAUUGAACGCAGUGGAACAAAUAGAAAAAUAAAAUUUUUCACCAACAUGGAUCACGUUUAAAUGAAAAAAAAAAUAUUUAAAGAGAAAAUAAAUACUUUUUAUUUUUCUUGCAAGAAAACACAAGAUUGUUCGCCUUGGUUGGAUUUUCAUAAACUACAAACCGUCCAAAUGUUCGGUUUCUAACGAUAUCCACACAGAAUGACAAUCGAAAAACCUUAGAGCAGCUCUAAGGAAUUGAGAAGGGGAGAGGUUUUGAGUGCUAACUCUCUGCCUUUCCAAUAAAUUCUGAAAACUCUCAAAAAGGGUUUUUACCAGUAGUCACACAGGUUCUCAUAACAUGCUCUUAAUAUUAAAACCUUAGGAUUUCAGUAUAAUAAUAUUUAUUUAUUUAACUAAUUAAAUAAAUAAAUUAUAAUCAUGGUCCCAAAAUUUAAUAAACAGGCCAUAUAAAUUUUAGAGAAUUUUAAUUAAGUCCCUACUUAAUUAAUUAGAUCAAAUCGUAGUUCUUUCAAAUUACAAUUUUAUUCAAAUAUCAAUUUAUAUACAAUCAAGUCCUACUUGAUUUAACUUUUUUGUUUUAUUUUCUCAUGUAAUUCUUUAUACGUGUCACCCAUUAGAUUCCAAAUAUGUUGGCAACAAAUUUAAUUAAUUAAUUAAUUAAAUUGAAAGUCAAGAACAUUAUCUAACAAUAUGUAAAGACUACCCAAAUAUUUGGAAUGUCAAAAGUAGUUGGACUUAGCUUUUCAGUGCAUAGUUUGUCAAUGUAAUUAAUAUCCCUUCAUUACAAAUAUCCCGAUUUAACAUUUGAUGCAUAGAACGUGUCUACAAUGUUAAAUCAUAUUAGUUCUCAUUUAUUAGCCAUUGAUCUAUUAAAUGAAAUUUCAAAUCUCAUUUGCUAACUUCAUUCCACCUUACGCGAGGAUUUCAUGAUCAAUGCUAGCAAAGAACAAAUGAGAUAUUUCCUAAUUUAACUUAGGGUGAUGAAUCCUAUCUUAAUCACAUAAACACCUUCAUACAGUUCUUAAAAUAUCCAAUUCAUCCUCAUUUGUUACUUAUGAACCAAGCAAUGUGUAAGAUGAAUAAAAUAAAUACCUACAUAUUAGUUCUAGAUAUCUCGCAUAUCUCAACCUAUGAGAUCAUUUUUUUCUUCUAAAAGGAAAGAAUAUAAUAUCCACUAGUCUCAAUAGCUCUAAUUAUUGUCCAAUCAUGAUAAGAAUAUCGACUAGGAACAUUUGGAGACGUUAUUUAAAUCCAAUAGGAAUCUCACAAUUAUAACCACAUUAUUAUUUGCUUUGCACAGUAAUAUAGUCUCAUAAACAUUAUCUUUACUCGAGAUUCAAUUAAAUUAGCACUAGAGAUAAAUAACUGACUUUAUAAAAUUAUAUUUAAAUACUUAAAAUACAUGAAUAAUAUAUUCAACUACAACCAACAAAUUGGUUAUAGGGCAUAUUACUAAUAAUAAAAAUAAAAUAAAAAAACAAAUUAAAUGUACUCUACCACACCCCUAAUUAACUAAUGUAAACAUAAAUGUAAAUUAUGAAGUAUAGAAAUAAGAAUAAAAAUUGUACAAGGGUACUAACCUUAACAAGAUUGUAAAUUCGUAAUGGAACAUGAAGGGUUGAAUAACAACUUCACUUUUAUAUUAAGAAGAAUAAUAAAAAAAUUAAAAGAACUAAGCUCAAUUCUGCCUGAUCUCUAUGGUAGUCUAUUUAUAACCUAAAAUGUCCUAAAUCCUAGUUAGAGUUGGUUUAUCAAUAAUACUUCAACUUUGACAGGGAUAAAUUAACUUAUUCCUAACUUAACUAGGAAAACUAACUUAAUUAAAUAUGGGUUGCCUAAAAAUAUCCUAAUUAGGCCUAAAUAAUUCCUCAAUAAUAAGUAUGAAAUAAAUAUAAAAAUUACAAAACAAUCCACGAUGAAUGAGAAAAGCACAGGUUGAUGACCAAAACCACGGGUAGCUUUUUUUUGCAUAAGCUCUUAUGAUUGGUCUACGAGGCAUAGAUUAGUCUUCUUCCAGUUUGGCUUAGUUGAUGCCCUUGUCAGUUUACCUACAGAGGUGGACAAGAUACACAAUAUCUUUCAUGUAUCCAACCUAAGGAUUCUUCUCAUGCCAUUUUAACUGAGACAAUUAAUAUUCAAUUUGAUUUGGCUUGUAAGUAGCAACCAGUGAAAAUUUGAGCAUGGAAGAUAAAAGGAGAUAGGGAAUAAGUAGAUUCCACUAGUGAAGGUUCUUUAGAGAAAGCAUAAAGUAGAAGUGGCUACAUGCAAAAGUGAAUAAGUAAUGAGGCAGAAACACCCAUAGUUACUCGAGAAAGGUAAAUUUUAAGGAUAAAAUUUUUUAAGAAGAGAAGAAAUGUUGUUAGUAGAAUGCCCAAAAGCAUGCUUGUAAUAGGUAUAAUGAUUUAUUUUAAUGGAAUUCUUUAUUUAUUAGUACUCAUGAUUAAUUUUAUUUAUCAGAUUGAUAUCUUAAAUUAAUACUAAAAUUCUUAGUAUUAUAAAACAUAAUGUAGAGAAAAUCAUGAAGAGUUCAUGAUCUGAGAUUCUAUUAUAUAUAAAUAUGUUAAUACAUAAAUUAUCCCUAGCUAUAGUAUUAGUAUAAGAUAUUAUGGAUAGACUAACAUAUGUUAUACUGCUUAAGUGUUCAUCAAGCAGUAGUUCUCAUAAUUAAACUAAAAGUUUUGAUAUGCUUAGAUUUAAUAUAUCGACGCUUGUUUGAGAAAUAAGUACAUUUGAGACCCCAAAUAAUUGUGAAAUAAAUUAUAUAUAUCAUAUCAUAUCAACUAUGCAAAUAUCCUUAGAAUUGGGAUCAUCAAAGAUAUCUUAAGUAUAUAAGUACUAAACUUUGACAUAAUUGUUCAUACUUCAUCAUGGAGUCUUGAAAGCUGAAAGUUUAGAUAUAAUAUAUUAUACUUAAAGAUGAUUGAAUGAUUAAUAAAGGAUUCACCAAACUCAAAUAAUAAGUGAGGUACAGUUGUAUCAUUCUUGCAAUAAAUUUACGAUUAAAGUGUCAUAGUAGAUAAGAUUCAUGAGGACAUAAUUAGAAUGAAUAUUAUGAUUUUUCAAUAUAUAAAUAUAACAUAAAGAUUACAUUCAAUGAAGAUUGAUAUAAAAAGGUUAAAGGAGUUUAUUACAUAGUAACUGGAUAUGGAUGGGUUAUGGUAAAAUCACCUUUGAUCUUUUGACAUUUUGGUAGUUAUAUGCAUGUCUAGAUGCCUAUAAUAAUUACUUGUAACCCUUGGUUUUGUACUAUGUAUACAUGCAUAUCUAAGCUUGUAAGUGCUCAAUCAUGAGAAUUAUAUCAUUAUUCUAAUGAAUGAAAAUUAAAAAAAUAAAAAAUAGACAGAGAAUCAAAGAAAAGGAAAAAUUGGGCUUUGUCAUUUGUUUUUAGGUCUUUUCCAUAAGGCUUAAGGUUCAUUUGGACUUUAAGAAUAUGGGCCUAUGCUUAAAAAUUAUAAGGUGACAAAAUGGUCCACUUCCCUAGGCCUAUUCAGCCAAACAAACUUGCAAAAUGGAGCACCUCAGGAAGAAUAUAAUUAAAAGAUUAAUUGAACCAACAUCAAUCAUAUAUCAACCCAAACCCUAAAGUGGCAAGUCAUGUAUGUGUUUCAGAAUAAUAAAUAUAACAACUCUUACUCAUCUAUAAAAUAGCUGAGUAAAAGAUGCCACAUGUUAUACUAUAUAUAAUUAUAUAUGUAGACUUAAAUUAGCUUUUACAUUAUCAAUUAUUAUUUAAUUUAUUUAAAUAUAUGUUAAUUCAUAAAAACAAUUUUAAAUGGAGAAACUGCAAGACUCUCCCCUAUUUAUCAACAAUUAUCCCUAUGGAAAAAGAGUGAUAAAUUCUCAAGAUUUACUCAAUUCAUACUAUUAAAUCCAUAAAUAGAAUAUAUUAACUUAAAGUAGUAAAUUAUUGAUUCACAUUUUUACUAUUUUCAAAACUCAUUUUUACAAACUACUGUGAACUACUUAUGUACAUGCCAAAUAUAAACAACCACUAUACAAAACUUGAAAUUAACUGGUUAAACUCUUUUUGUGUGGAUAAAUAUUUUAAACUUUUAUGAUCUGUAUAGGCAUAACAUUUUUUACCAUACAGGUAAGGCUUCCAUAUCUUUAAUGUAAAGACUAUGGUUGCUAACUCUAAAUCAUAGAAAGAGCAGUUCUUCUCAAUUUUGGGUUUCCACUUCUCCUAUAAAAGCAUCUCUUUUCUUAAACCCUAAUCAUUCAUGAAUAAGUGAUUCAAGAACACAAAAAAUAAAAAAAUAAAAAAAACCCUAAGGCAACCAGCUACCCUCUCUCUAUCAUUUGAAAAUUCUCUCCUUUGAUCUAAGAAAGAAAAUCAAGACGCCUCCUUCCCUUCCACAGAGGUGUUUCUGCCCCUCCCGUCUAUGCAAUAUUUCUUUGCUUUUUUUUAAUCACUUUAAUGCAAUAUUUUUUCAAGAAAAUUAAUUCCUAGCAUAAAAACAUAUCCUUUAUAUGUUCUUCAAUUAAUAUGGAUGUGUUGGUCAACUCCCAUAAUAUUUGAUGUGAAUUUUAAGGGCAAUAUAAUUAUGUGCAUGAAUAGUUAGGAGCAACCUUUUUUUGGUUAGGAUGUGCAUCUCAAACAUAAUGGAUUUGGAGUCCUAAAAUAUUUUUAUGGAAUUCUUCAUGAAAUUGCCUAUGAUUUUCAUAUAUCGGUUGCUUUGUUCUAAAUUUUCUUGAUGCAGUUAUGAUUUUCAAAUAUUAAUGAGACAAUCACGUCACACUAGACUGUUUCAACAUUUGAUACAAUUUCAAUGACAUAACUUAACCUUCUGAUCCCCAAAUCAUGUGAUUAUUGAUCCUAAAAUUAAACUUGCAAAGCGAAAUGAAAACUCUAUUCUUUGAUUUUUUUUCACAUUAUGGUCUAUAAAAUAGUAUUAUAUUAGAUACAAAGUCGGUGUCAGGAAUCUAUUAUAAUUUAGAAUAAUUGAUUUGCGAUAGCUAUAACUCCCAAUUCACACAUCCUUUUUGCUUGAUUAUGUAUUAGUUUGCAAUUUUAUACAUAAUUUUACUUUUUCAUUGCCAUAAUUUGUCACAAUUAGGUAUGCCCUUUCAGUAGGCUUAUCUUGGUUCUUUAAUAUUCAUAAGUUCUUAUUUCUGAAUUUUAGUUGUUUUGAUUUUUAUUGAUGUUAUUAACAUGUUCUUUGGUAUUAGAACAAUAGGUAGAUGGAGGCUAAGGUUUCCUUAGGUAACCCAUUUAGGCCAAACUCCUUAAUUAGGAGUGUAUUUGUUUUAUUUUCUUAUUUCAUUAUGACUUAUUUUCUUUUAUUUUUUUAGACAUUAUUUUUUAUUUUAAUAUGGAUUAUGUUUUAUUUUAAAUAAUGAAAAAUUACUUUUUACUCUCUAAGAUAACAUAAUUAACACUUCUCUCCCUCUAUUUUGAGAACCCAACACAUAAGUCCCUCAUUUACUGUUCUGUCAAAACUCGCAGCCCUUCUAUAAAAAGUACCUGUUUGGUCUAGGAGUCUAAGGUGAGAGAUGAUAUUUUCUUAAAAAUAUGCCCUUAACAAACUUGUUAAAGACUCUCCAAUGUGAAAUCCCUAAAAAUUAUCUUCUCCUCUUUUGAUUCCCCUAUCUAUGACAUUGUUAGUACCAUAAUAUUUUUCAAAACCUUUAUUCUCCCUAAAAUCUUUUGUUUGCCUCAUGUAUUCUCUAUUUCCUUUUAGCUAUUAUUGUGAAUCAUCAUUUGAGAAGAAUAAUGUCUGUAUCAAGUGGGUCAGCUAGAUAAUAGGAUGGAAGACUGAAGAAUGUAAAUUGCAGAUGUUGCAAAUGGGUUGGGAUAAGGAUUUAUGAGUUAGCCGAUAACCCUAACAAGCUAUAUUAUUCUUGCUAAGAUAAUGUGUGUGCAAGUUUUUGUGGGUCAUUUGAACCUAUGAAUCAAAGGUCAACUCCAUCAAGUGGCAACAUUGACAUGUAUGAGGGAAGGAAAAUUGAAAAUAGAACACUUAUGGAAGAAAGGCUAGAGAAGGUAGUAGAAGAUAUUACAAAGGUGAAGAAUGGUUUGAAGAAGAUGAAGGAAGAAUAAAGAGCUACUAGAGAGGAGAUUGCAAAUAUUGGGGGAUUAUAUGUCAAUUGAGAACAAUUUAUAUUGGUUUCAUUUUUGUUGUAGUUAGAAUGGCUAUGAAAUUGAUUUGAAAGAAUAUGUAUCAUGUUUUUUUAUAAUAAAAUUGUCCUUUUAUUGUUAAUAUAUUUCUGUCAAAUUGUUGUAGUAUGAGUGUAAGGAAGUCCAGAGAUCACUGCAACCCAAAAAUACAUAGCGAAAAAAAUAAAAGAUCUCUAUUUUCCCUUUCAGGAUCCAAGUGCUUCAUUUAAUUCAAAAGGAAUGAUAAAAAACUAACCUUUUAGAUUUUAAAAAUCAUAUCAGGACUGAUGGUGCUGCUUUUGAAAUGAACACCCUCAAUGGUAUCCACUAUCUGGAGUGCUAACUCUCUGUACGGAUGGAUUAGCUAUGUGCUCAUAAUUUGCAACAUAGAAAAUGAUCACAAAAACUAUCCUCAUGCUUUCUAUAAAGCUCUCAAAGAAGGUGUUUUAUGUUCACUCAUUUUCUCCCAAAAACUUUUCAUUUUCACACUUUUCUUUUCAUAAAAGAGUUGUGGCAAUUGUAACAAGCACACAAUUGCAAAUACCAAUAUAUCUGUGCGAUAAGUCCUUUUAAAAAAAAAAUGAAAAAAUCUUUUGUCUGUAACCAUUAUAGAUAGGCUGCAGAUAUUAUUAUCUUAUAAUAAUUACAAACAAUUAAUAUUAAUAAUAAUAUUAAUAAUAAUAUAUUUAUUAAUAUUAUUAUUAAUUAUACUAACGGGCUCUUAGUUCAUUAAUAUGAUAUAGCACAUCAAUGACAUUCUAUUGUGUGUGACCCAAUAGGCUCACAUUAAUUGGCAACAUUUCUAGUCCAAUAAGACCCAUAAAUCAUAAGCGGCCUCUAGCAAGACGUUAUGACUACCCAAUUAAUAUGAAGAUCGAUAGUCCGAUAAAGCCUAAUAAACAGAACAUGUAUUAAUCCCUUUGUCACACGAUACCUAGUUUGAACAUAAGUCAUGGUCAAUGUAAAACUUAUAAUAUUCAAACUUAUCAUUUCUCGAUCUCUAAGUACUAAUAAAACCAAAUAAUAUUAAUCACAGUACCAAUUCAUUUGAGCACGGCCAUGCAUUUCUCAGUCUCACUUAGUGAGGGGCCAUGAAGAUAUCUUUCUCAAAGAGAGGAACAAAUUCUAUCUCGAUUAUUCAAUAUCCUCUACAUAAUUUCUAUUAUACUCAAUCAUAACCUUUAUAUUAUCCGAUUAAAGGCAAUGUUUGGUUAUGUCAAAACAUAACAGUCCUUAUGUUGGAAACUAUGACAAUCUCAAGUCAAAGAAUUAAAAUAUAACUAUCUUGAGAUUUACUUAUGACAAUAACCCAUGUAGUGAUUUCAGUGUGGGUCCAUCCAAUACUUUGUUCUCUAACAAGUAUCUAUAAUUAUUGAUUUAUAUCAAUAUACACAUAACCAUCUCAUGAUUAUCAAUCAAUAAUCAUAUUAGUCAUAUUUUAUUAUUAUCAUUAUAACAAUAAGUAACCAGGGAUGUUAAUCAUUAUUAUGUAAUAUGCAAACAAAUAAUAAUGAUAAUAAAACCUCUUUUAUUAAUAAACAAAAUGACAUACAAAAGGUCCAAGAUAAUGGCCUAGGACAAAUACACUAACAAUCUCUCACUUGUACUAGGCCUAAUCAUACAAAUAUCUAAUACUCAUAGGCCUAGUGUGUUGAUCAUGCUUGACCCGUGAGAGAGGCUUGGUCAGUGGCUCUGCAAUGUUGUCAUUUGUAUCUACCUUGCAUAUUUUGAUUCUCCUUUAUCAAUAAUCUCUCGAAUAAAGUGAAAUCGCCUGAGUAUUUGCUUAGAUCUCUGAUGAGAUAUAGGCUCCUUUGCCUAUGCUAUAGCACCAUUAUUGUCACAAUAAAGGUCCAUAAGAUUUGCAAUGCUAGGAACCACUCCCAACUUUGUGAUGAAUUUUUUCAACCAGACUAUCUCCUUAGCUGCAUCUGAUGCCGCUAUAUACUUAGUGUAACGACCCAAAAAUCGGACCGCUACCGGCGCUAGGAUCCAGAUCAGCUUAAGGCCGCCGGGACCCGUAGCAAGCCUGACAUAUAACCUAUGAACCUGUCAAAUCCCAUACAUGAUCAUACAUACUCAUAAACCUGUAAACUUUUCCUUUCCAUAAACCAAGCUCAACCUGUGCAUACUCAUAUCAUAACAUAAACCACACACUGGAGCCCUCAUCAAAUGCUCCAAUGGGGUAUCAUAACAUACAUGAAUUAAGCUUGGUUGAACAUAAACAUCAUAAAACAUUCUAUAGAUCAUGUAUCAAAAGGGGUUACUAUACAACUCGGUCAAGCACAAUUUCUAAACCUCAAUACAUCAUCAUUACAUAUCAUAACUGUAAAAUACAUUACAUUACAAUUUAAUCAUGUCCACUGCUAGCUAUUACAUAACCAAGACUUUAUUCUAUCCGACUUCCUGCUCUAUCCUGUACCUGCAAGCCUAGGGGUUAAAGGGAGAGGGGUGAGCUAAAAAGCCCAGUGAGUAGAACCAUAAAAACAUAUUAACAAACAUGCUCCAAUGAAAUGCAUCAUAACACAGACAAUUCACAUAAGGGUUGGGUGAACUUGUCACCAAAUAGUCCCAGCAUCAUUUGUGCCAGGCCAUAGCAUGGGGUCCUGGUCUUCCUGUCAUAUCAUACAUUACUUACCAUUGCCCCAGGGCCUCCUCUGGGCUCCUGGUCUUCGAGUCCCAUAUCCGUGCCAGGCCGUAGAAUGGGGUCCUGGUCUUCCCUCAGGGACUAAUUGGGUCAUCCAACAUUCACCCACAUCAACAAUAAAGAAUGCAAUGCAACAUAUUCGUGAAAUCUAAUGCAAUCAUCCUAUUGCAUACUCAUGAUGCAUGAAACAUGAUAAACAUUUAAUUUCUCAAUUUAAAAGAUUAAGUUUAGUUACACUCACCUUUGGUUGACUCUGACAACACCGAAGCACCUGAACUCACUGCUGGGGUCCUCGGUUCCUCGGGUCCGAACCUACACAGGUGGACUCAAAUGAGGGACCAAACAUACUAGAACAUGACUCUAAAAUAUUCCCCAAAAACCCCCUUAAAACACCUCAAAACAUCAUGGAAAAACAUGCAAAGGAGGGCUACACAGGGCACUUUCGGCGGCACCUUCGGCGGCCGAAAGUCCCUCUAGAGCCGAAAGUCAGGCAGGUUCGGCGGCCGAAAGUGCCCUUCAGAGACGAAAGUCUCUUUUCGGGGGCAGGCUUCGGCAGCCGAAAGGCUUGCCUCCCAGCCAUGUUCGGCAGUCGAAAGUCCUUCGGCUGCCGAACCUGGUUUCUGCCAAAGGGCAGAAACUUCAGCUCCUCAUGCACAAAUGCCUCCCAAACCUUCCAAACAUGCAUUUUUCCUAUUCUACAACAAGCAUACUCAAGCAUACAAGUUCCUAGGGGCUUCAACUAACUUAAACCCUAUCUACAACACAUCAAACAUCCACAUUGUUCAUAAACACAACAUAUACCCAUAAACAUAACAAUAACCUAAUCAUGCAUUUCUACCCCAUAGAUCUACUUAAAGCUUACUUAAAACAUACAAUGAGCUUAAGAUCGGCUCUUACCUCUUGAAGAUCGAGAGAGAGACGACCUAAACUCGGAGAUGGGAGGGGUUGAGUUUCUUUGAACCUCAAAGCUCCAAAACUCGCUCAAAUGCUCAAAAACUUCAAAACAAAGUGAAAACUCAUGAAAAUCUUGAAAGAUCUGAAGGAAGAAACUCAAGAUUGGUGAGGGAUGGCGGAGGGCUCACCUUGGCCAAAAAUGGGGAGAAAGCUCGCCCAUUUCAGCUAAGGGACCCCUUUAUAGUGGCUGGCCAGGCCACAUUCGGGAGCCGAACGUGCCUCCGCAUGCAUGCCAUGUUCGGCGGCCGAACUUGAGUUUCGGCGGCCGAACCUAGACUUUCCUCACUUAUGCCUUCGGGGGCCUAAAGCACUCCCGAAGUGCAUGUAUGUUCGGCGGCCGAACUUGGGGUUCGGCGGCCGAACCUGAGUUUUCCUCCAAGGCUAUUUUCAUGCAAAAACUCAUUUUCUUUCAUGCUUAAAACAUAAAACACAUUAAAACAUUUUAUGAAAACAUGGUUUUACCCUUCUAGAGGUCUCCGACACCCGAGAUUCCACCGGACGGUAGGAAUUCCGAUACCGGAGUCUAGCCGGGUAUUACAUUCUCCCCCCCUUAAGAACAUUCGUCCCCGAAUGUUCCUCAACUAGCACAUGCAAGGCAUACAACAUAUCAUACACAUAAAACACAUGAAACAUAUAAGAAGCUAACCUUAGAAAAGAUAAGGGCAUUGCUGGAGCAUGGACUCCCGUGUCUCCCAGGUGCAUUCUUCCAGAUUGUGGUGGUUCCAAAGGACUUUCACCAUCGGUAUUUCCUUGUUCCUCAACUUCCUGAUUUGAGUGUCCAGAAUCCGUACCGGCUGCUCAACAUAGGUGAGAUCCUCUUGGAUCUCCACAUCAGGCUCACUAAGAACCUUGCCCGGAUCUGACACGAACUUCCUCAACAUAGAAACAUGGAAAACGGGAUGGAUUCUUUCCAUUGAAGCAGGUAAAUCAAGCUUGUACGAUACAUUCCCAAUCUUUUGCAAGACUUCAAAGGGUCCGAUGUACCGUGGAGCCAGCUUACCUUUCUUCCCGAACUGAACCACUCCUUUCAUAGGAGACACCUUGAGCAAUACCAGGUCCCCCUCCUGAAACUCUACUUGCCUUCUGCGGAUGUCUGCAUAACUCUUCUGUCUGCUUGCAGCAGUCUUGAUUCUUUCUCUGAUUAAGGGUACCACCCUGCUGGUGAUUUCUACUAGCUCAGGCCCUGCCAAGGCCUUUUCUCCGACUUCUUCCCAGCAAAUAGGUGAUCUGCACUUCCUCCCAUACAAAGCUUCAUAUGGAGCCAUCUCGAUGCUAGCAUGAUGGCUGUUAUUGUAGGCAAACUCCACCAAAGGCAGAUGCUGCCUCCAAGAACCACCAAAGUCCAGCACACACAUUCUAAGCAUAUCCUCUAUUGUCUGGAUGGUCCUCUCCGACUGUCCGUCCAUCUGUGGAUGGAAAGCAGUGCUAAAAUCCAACCUGGUACCCAUGGCAUCCUGCAGACUCCGCCAAAACCUGGAGGUGAACUGGGGUCCUCUAUCGAACACUAUAGAAACAGGAACCCCAUGCAGCCUGACAAUCUCAUCAACAUACACCUGAGCUAAUUUGUCCACCGAAUAGCCACUCCUGACAGGGAUGAAGUGAGCAGAUUUGGUGAGUCUGUCCACAAUCACCCAUAUGGAGUCCAAUCUGUUGGACGUCGCCGGUAACCCCACUACGAAGUCCAUAGCUAUAUUCUCCCAUUUCUACUCUGGAAUAGGUAGCGGGUUAAGCAUUUCAGCCGGCUUCUGAUGUUCCAGCUUCACCCUUUGACACACUUCGCAGGCUGACACAAACUGUGCCACUUCUCUCUUCAUAGCUGGCCACCAAUAAACCUUCUUCAGAUCUUGAUACAUCUUGGUGGCUCCGGGGUGAAUGCUGUAUCUUGCAUUAUGAGCCUCUCUCAUAAUGUCUCCUUUUAGCCCUACGUCAUCUGGUACACACAAUCGACUCCCAUAGCGGAGGAUCCCCUUGUUGUCGAAUUUGAACUCACUGUCCUUGCCUGACUGAACAGUCCUGGCAAUCUUCACUAACUCUGGGUCCUCAUGCUGUUUCUGAGCCACCUGCUCCAGAAACAUGGGUGCCACUCUCAUCUGAGCAACUAAAGCACCUGUACCAGACAACUCCAACUGUAGACCUUCAUCAAUGAGCUUGUAAAACUCCUUCACCACUGGUCUCCUCUCCGCUGUGAUGUGGGAGAAACUGCCUAGUGACUUUCGGCUUAGGGCGUCUGCCACAACAUUUGCCUUACCCGGAUGGUAUUGAAUCUUGCAAUCAUAAUCACUUAGCAGUUCUACCCAUCUUCUCUAUCUCAAGUUCAAAUCUCUUUGACUCAGGAUGUACUGUAGGCUUUUAUGAUCUGUGAAGAUCUCACAUUUAACACCGUAAAGGUAAUGCCUCCACAUCUUGAGUGCAAAGAUAACAGCGGCCAUUUCCAGGUCAUGUGUGGGGUAAUUCAACUCAUGCUUCUUUAGCUGCCUAGAAGCAUAAGCAAUCACCCUUUCAUUCUGCAUUAGCACACAACCCAGACCCACUCGGGAUGCAUCACAGAACACUGUGAAGUCCUCAUUGCUAGCUGGCAGAGCUAACACUGGUGCUGACGUUAACCUCUUCUUAAGCUCUUCAAAACUCUCUUCGCACUGGUCGGUCCACACAAACUUCUAAUUCUUCCUGGUUAACCUGGUCAGAGGAGCUGCAAUUUUUGAGAAGUCCUGAACGAACCUCCUGUAGUAACCUGCCAAACCCAAGAAACUUCUGAUCUCUGACACUGAAGUGGGUCUAGGGCAGUUAGCCACAGCUUCUACCUUCUUGGGGUCUACCUCUAUUCCAUUUUCUGACACCACAUGCCCCAAGAAUGAAAUGCUCCUCAGCCAGAACUCACACUUGGAGAACUUGGCAUACAAGCCAUGCUCCCUCAAGGUCUGUAGAACCAACCUCAGAUGAUGGGCAUGCUCCUCUGCAUUUCUGGAAUACACCAAGAUAUCAUCUAUGAAGACAAUAACGAAGUGAUCCAGGUACUGGCUAAACACUCUGUUCAUGAGAUCCAUGAAUGCUGCAAGGGCGUUGGUUAACCCGAACGGCAUCACAAGGAACUCAAAAUGCCCAUAUCUGGUCCUGAAAGCUGUCUUUGGCACAUCUUCCUCUCUGAUCCUCAGCUGAUGAUACCCGAACCUCAGAUCUAUUUUAGAGAAACAACCCGCUCCUGCUAGCUGGUCGAAUAGAUCAUCGAUCCUUGGCAAAGGGUACCUGUUCUUUGUAGUGCUUUGUUCAACUGCCUGUAGUCGAUACAAAGUCUGAGGGAUCCAUCCUUCUUUCUUACAAACAAAACUGGAGCACCCCAGGGUGAGGUACUCGGUCGGAUGAAGCCCUUGUCUACCAGCUCCUGUAACUGCUCCUUCAACUCUUUCAAUUCUGCUGGCGCCAUCCUGUAAGGAGGGAUAGAGAUCGGUCGGGUUCCAGGCAUCAGUUCUAUCUCGAACUCUAUCUCCCUAGCAGGUGGUAAACCUGGCAGCUCGUCUGGGAACACAUCCAAAAACUCUCUGACCACCGGCACCGAGGCGGGCUCUCUAACCUGACUGCUAAGCUCUCUCACAUGAGCCAAAUACCCCUUACAUCCCCUCCUAAGCAACCUGCGAGCCUGAAGGGCUGAUAUCAGACCUCUAGGUGUACCCCUCCUGUCUCUCUGAAGACGACUGUAACGACCCGAAAAUCGGACCGCUACCGGCGCUAGGAUCCGGGUCGACUUAAGGCCGCCGGGACCCGUAGCAAGCCAAACAUACAUCCUGGAAACCUGUUUAAUCCCAUACAUGAUCAACAAACAUACAUAAAAAUUACAACUUUACUUUCCAUAUACAUCAACCAAACUCAACCUGUGCAUAUACAUAUACUUAACAUAAUCAUAACAUUGAUCCCUCCGUGGGAUCUCAUCAGUGCCCCCAAAGGGUGACACAACGUAUGCUGAGUCGGUUUACAUAAAGACAUAAAAUAAUCAAGAUCAUGUAUAAAAAGGGAUUACAACAUCUAUGGUCAAGCACACCUCUAAUCAUCCAUAAAUAUCAUUACAUAAUUAUACUGUACUUAAGACAUUACAUUACAAUUUGAUCAUGUCCAUUGCUAGCUAUUACAUAAACAUGACUUCUUUACUCUAUCCGGACUCCUGCUCUAUACUGUACCUGCAAACCUGGGGGUAAAGGGAGAGGGGUGAGCUAAAAGCCCAGUGAGUAGGACUAUAAAACAUAUUAACACUAUGCUCCAAUGAAAUGCAUCAUAACACAGACAAUUCACAUAAGGGUUGGGUGAACUUGUCACCAAUUAGUCCAAGUUAACAUAGUGCCAGGCCGUAGCAUGGGGUCCUGGUCUUCCUGUCAUAACAUACAUUACUUACCAUUUCCCCAGGGCCUCCUCUGGGCUCCUGGUCUUCGAGUCUCACAACCGUGCCAGGCCGUAGAAUGGGGUCCUGGUCUUUCCUUACAUAGUGCCAGGCCGUAGCAUGGGGUCCUAGUCUUCCUGUCAUGGACUAAUUGGGUCAUCCAACAUUCACCCACAUCAACAACAAUCGAUGCAAUGCGGCAUAUUCGUGAAACUAAUGCAAUCAUCCUAUGGCAUAAUCGUGAUGCAUGAAACAUGAUAAAACAUUUAAUUUAAAAGAUUAAGUUUAGUUCCACUCACCUCUGGCUGACUCUGACAACACCGAAGCAGCUG